AUUGAACGCUGGCGGCAUGCUUUACACAUGCAAGUCGAACGGUAACAGGUUAAGCUGACGAGUGGCGAACGGGUGAGUAAUGCACCGGAACGUGCCCGGUCGUGGGGGAUAACGCAGCGAAAGCUGCGCUAAUACCGCAUACGAUCUGAGGAUGAAAGCGGGGGACCGUAAGGCCUCGCGCGAUCGGAGCGGCCGGUGUCAGAUUAGGUAGUUGGUGGGGUAAAGGCUCACCAAGCCGACGAUCUGUAGCUGGUCUGAGAGGACGACCAGCCACACUGGGACUGAGACACGGCCCAGACUCCUACGGGAGGCAGCAGUGGGGAAUUUUGGACAAUGGGCGCAAGCCUGAUCCAGCAAUGCCGCGUGCAGGAAGAAGGCCUUCGGGUUGUAAACUGCUUUUGUACGGAGCGAAAAGGCUCUCUCUAAUACGGAGGGCUCAUGACGGUACCGUAAGAAUAAGCACCGGCUAACUACGUGCCAGCCGCCGCGGUAAGAC
rnacentral:rRNA from 1 species